UACCUAAACCAAGAGCUUGCUCUCGGCACGGUAUUAAAUCCAUUUGACACUAACAAGCUCGCCGUAGAGCACUGUGUCAAAUGGUCACGGCUGGAAACGGUCGUGGGUGGCUUAGGCCAUC
rnacentral:sRNA from 12 species